CACGGGGGGAGCAAGCGUUGUUCGGAAUCACUGGGCGUAAAGGGCGUGUAGGCGGUCAGGUAAGUGAGAUGUGAAAUGCCCCGGCUCACCCGGGGACCGGCAUCUCAUACUGCUUGGCUUGAGUACGGGAGAGGAUGUGGGAAUUCCUGGUGUAGCGGUGAAAUGCGUAGAUAUCAGGAGGAACACCGGUGGCGAAGGCGCACAUCUGGCCCGAUACUGACGCUGAGGAGCGAAAGCGUGGGGAGCGAACAGG
rnacentral:rRNA from 1 species